rnacentral:rRNA from 1 species
AUUGAACGCUGGCGGCAGGCCUAACACAUGCAAGUCGAACGAGUGGCGGACGGGUGAGUAAUGUCUGGGAAACUGCCCGAUGGAGGGGGAUAACUACUGGAAACGGUAGCUACUACUGCAUACCAUCGGAUGUUCCCAGAUGGGUUUAGCUAGUAGGUGGGGUAACGGCUCACCUAGGCGACGAUCCGUCGCUGGUCUGAGAGGAUGACCAGCCACACUGGAACUGAAACACGGUCCAGACUCCUACGGGAGGCAGCAGGGGGGAAUAUUGGACAAUGGGCGCAAGCCUGAUGCAGCCAUGCCGCGUGUAUGUAGAAGGCCUUCGGGUGGUAAAGUACUUUCAGCGAGGAGGCGGUACUCGCAGAAGAAGCACCGGCUAACUCCGUGCCAGCAGCCGCGGUAAUUC